rnacentral:tRNA from 1 species
AAGGGUACAGCUCAGUGGUAGAGCACAUGCUUCGCAUCCAUGAGUUCCUAGGUUCAAUCCACAGUACCUCUG